rnacentral:rRNA from 1 species
UGCAUAUCUUAAGCUGAGGAAAAGAAACCAACCGGGAUUGCCUUAGUAACGGCGAGUGAAGCGGCAAAAGCUCAAAUUUGAAAUCUGGUACCUUCGGUGCCCGAGUUGUAAUUUGGAGAGGGCAACUUUGGGGCCGUUCCUUGUCUAUGUUCCUUGGAACAGGACGUCAUAGAGGGUGAGAAUCCCGUGUGGCGAGGAGUGCGGUUCUUUGUAAAGUGCCUUCGAAGAGUCGAGUUGUUUGGGAAUGCAGCUCUAAGUGGGUGGUAAAUUCCAUCUAAAGCUAAAUAUUGGCGAGAGACCGAUAGCGAACAAGUACAGUGAUGGAAAGAUGAAAAGAACUUUGAAAAGAGAGUGAAAAAGUACGUGAAAUUGUUGAAAGGGAAGGGCAUUUGAUCAGACAUGGUGUUUUGUGCCCUCUGCUCCUUGUGGGUAGGGGAAUCUCGCAUUUCACUGGGCCAGCAUCAGUUUUGGUGGCAGGAUAAAUCCAUAGGAAUGUAGCUUGCCUCGGUAAGUAUUAUAGCCUGUGGGAAUACUGCCAGCUGGGACUGAGGACUGCGACGUAAGUCAAGGAUGCUGGCAUAAUGGUUAUAUGCCGCCCGUCUUGAAACACGGACC